GGGGCCGUAGCGCAGUUGGGAGCGCGUCUGAUUCGCAUUCAGAAGGUCGCCGGUUCGACUCCGGUCGGCUCCA
rnacentral:tRNA from 1 species